ACUCACUCACUCUCUCUCUUCCCUUCCCUCACCUUCUUCUCUCUUCGGCCUUUUCGUCUUCCUCUUUCCGCACGCAUGUACGAACGAAGGCCAGGGAGAGAGUGACGCACGCAAGCUCUAUCUCGUCCUAGCGAUUCGGGAUGCCCCGGUAUCCAAACCCUAGCUCGGCCUCUCCUUCGCCGGACAUUGAGUUCCGCACCUUCGACGAUGACGCCUGGUACAGCGUCCGCCUCCUCCUCCUCAGCUCCGGCCACCAGCUCAAACUGAUGUACUGCCACCUCUCGGACUUCUACGACAGGGUCUUCCACGCCAAGGACUUUCGCUCCCUCGAAGCGAUCCAGGACUUUCGGUCGAGGUUCAGGCCUGCCUCCCCUCAGCUUCAGGACUCGGAUUGCGGCUCCGUUACCCCGGGCACCCUCGUCUGCGCCUCUCACUCCCCGAGGGACGGCGAUGUUUGCUUCUACGACGCCAUUGUUGAAGCAGUGGAGCGGAAGGAGCACAGUAGAUACAAGUGCUUGUGUAGCUUUAUGCUUCUCUCUAAACAUGGCCCAAGUGAAGGGAAGAUGGUCAUGAAACGUAUUGAAAGCAUUUGUGUGGUCCAACCCACUGUUCGGGUUGAUCCCAAGGUUGCCUCAUUUCUGGAGAUAGCAACAAAACAUAUGAAUAGGAUUAUGCCCGAGUCAAAUGCCAAUUCUGGAGGUGAAGCGUGCUCAUCUCUAGACAGGAAGAUUGACAAGUGCAGUGGAAAGAGUCCACAGGAUAUUGAUCUUGGAGGAGUGCGCAAACAUUACAUGAUAUUGAUCGAGAACCUCGAGAAGGACUUACAAUCAUCCUCUAUCGAGGAUUUCCUCCAAUUGCACACGUCAAUGUCAACUAGAGCAUGUAUUUUCCCUUGCUUGCCAUCAGAAUCGUAUGCACGCGGAGCUAUUUUUGUGGAUUCCGAGAAGAAUCUUAAGAAGUUGUACGAUUUUCUAGAGGAUCCUGAUCAAUCAUCGUAUCCUCUAGAGGAAGACCGUUAAUGACAUCUGGAAAGUUAUGUGGGAAUGCCAUAACAUCUUUUUCAGCUCUUAUGCCCACAUACCUCAGAAGACCAUCAAGCAGGAAGCUGGAGAUCCAAGUUGUCCGCUCGGGAACUGAAGAAUACACACAAGCUAAGAAGCUGAAGGAACUCUUUUUGCUUUUUCUGGAGAAGCAGAAAAUAUUGCACGAGAGACUAGCAACAGAGGGGGGGAAAUUUUUGAAGCAGCUAGCAACAAAGUGACUGGAAGUAACAUUGGCAGAAACUCGUACUUCUGACUUCUGAAAGGUGACACUGCAGAGAUCCAAAGCUCAUAUCUGUGAAUAAUAGUCUAGUCAAUGUAGAUAUCUGCUUUAUAGCAAAUGCCUUGGGUAGGUCCCAUUUGGAGCAAGGUUUUGUCGAUGUUCAUGAGAGAUCAGUACUCCUAUACUUGCCAUACGAAGGGACAACCGGUGAUUCUUUUCUUCAGUUAGAGCAGAGGUGAUCAUCUCUCUGAUGUUAGUGACAAGAUUAGGGUUAAUUUAACCUUAUAAUUGAUUAGUCUAUACUUGAGUUGUGAUCACUACUGUCGAUGACUUACAAUCUAUGCAUAUCAUGAUUACGAUCAUUCUCAAA